rnacentral:pre_miRNA from 1 species
AAUGUAUGACGCCGUUAACUUUUUAACCGACAUUUGACCAUUCGUCUUAUUUAAAAAAUUUAUGUUAUUAUCAUUUAUUUUACCGUGAUUUGAUUUAUCAUCAAAUGUUCUUUAAGCAUAACAUAAAUAUUUUUAUAUUUACACAAAAACUUUGAAUAAGACGAAUGGUCAAAUGUUAAUUAAAAUGCCAACGGCGUCAUACAUU